rnacentral:rRNA from 1 species
UACGGAGGGUGCAAGCGUUAUCCGGAUUCACUGGGUUUAAAGGGUGCGUAGGUGGGCUGGUAAGUCAGUGGUGAAAUCUCCAGGCUUAACUUGGAAACUGCCAUUGAUACUAUCAGUCUUGAAUACCGUGGAGGUCAGCGGAAUAUGUCAUGUAGCGGUGAAAUGCUUAGAUAUGACAUAGAACACCAAUUGCGAAGGCAGCUGGCUACACGAAUAUCGACACUGAUGCACGAAAGCGUGGGGAUCAAACAGG